ensembl:snRNA U6 U6 spliceosomal RNA
GUGCUCUCUUUGGCAGCACAUAUAUUAAAAAUUGGAAUGAUACAGAAAAGAUUAGCAUGGUCCCUGCGCAAGGAUGACACACAAAUUCAGGAAGUGCUCCUCCCUAGA